rnacentral:rRNA from 1 species
AGGAAAAGAAACCAACAGGGAUUGCCUCAGUAACGGCGAGUGAAGCGGCAAAAGCUCAAAUUUGAAAUCUGGCACCUCUGGGUGUCCGAGUUGUAAUUUGGAGAGGAUACUUCGGGCAUGGUUGCAGCAUAAGUCCCUUGGAACAGGGUGUCAUAGAGGGUGAGAAUCCCGUCUUAAGUUGUUAACCAUGUCCAUGCGAAGUUCCUUCGACGAGUCGAGUUGUUUGGGAAUGCAGCUCUAAGUGGGUGGUAAAUUUCAUCUAAAGCUAAAUAUUGGCCAGAGACCGAUAGCGAACAAGUAGAGUGAUCGAAAGGUUAAAAGCACCUUGAAAAGGGAGUUAAAUAGCACGUGAAAUUGUUGAAAGGGAAGCGCUUGCAACCAGACUCGGUCACAGGGGCUCAGCAGGCAUGCGUGCCUGUGUACUCCCCUGUGUUCGGGCCAGCAUCAGUUCUGGCGGUUGGUUAAAGGCCCUUGGAAUGUAUCGUCCUCCGGGACGCCUUAUAGCCAAGGGUGUAAUGCGGCCAGCCGGGACUGAGGAACGCGCUUCGGCACGGAUGCUGGCAUAAUGGUUGUAAGCGGCCCGUCUU